rnacentral:rRNA from 1 species
UAGUAAGCGGAGGAAAAGAAACUAACCAGGAUUCCCUCAGUAGCUGCGAGCGAACAGGGAAGAGCCCAGCACCGAAUCCCGCGGGCCGCGCCCGUAGGGAAAUGUGGUGUUCGGGAGGAUCCGUCUAUCCCGGGGGUCGGCUGGCGAGUCCAAGUCCACCUUGAACGGGGCCACGGUCCGCAGAGGGUGCCAGGCCCGUAGCGACCGCUGCCGCCUCCGGGAGGGUCUCUCCUCAGAGUCGGGUUGCUUGAGAGUGCAGCCCUAAGUGGGUGGUAAACUCCAUCUAAGGCUAAAUACGACCACGAGACCGAUAGCGAACAAGUACCGUGAGGGAAAGUUGAAAAGAACUUUGAAGAGAGAGUUCAAGAGUACGUGAAACCGUUCAGGGGUAAACGGGAGAAACCCCAAAAGGUCGAACGGGAGGAUUCACGUCCGCCCGACCGUCCGGUCGCCUGGCCCCGCCCGAUGUCGUCGGCCACCUGCCGCGGUUCGCGCCGCGUCGCAGGUUCGGUACCGUCGCUCACGGUGCGGGGUGGCGGCCAUAGUGGCGGCGGAGGACUGCACUUCCUCCCUAGUAGGAACGUCGCGACCCGUCGAAGGCCGGUCCAAGGCCCGGGGGAUCGAACGCUCGUAUCCGUGGGGCGGGUUUCCCGUCUCCGGUGCGAAUCCCCGGCGCCCGUCCGGCCGUUAGACGGUACAACGGCGGAGCAGGCCCGCUCGACUUAAAGAGCGUCCGGCCCGGUGUCGGCGUGGUCGUCCGUCGGUGGCACGUGUCGAAAGCACGUCCCCGGCGCCGUGCCGCGUCCGGCCGAAAGACCGGUGUCCCCGGACAGUCGUCGGCCUCGUCUCCCGUCGGCGACGCCGCAGAUUGGGGCACUCUCCCGACCCGUCUUGAAACACGGACCAAGGAGUCUAACAUGUGCGCGAGUCAUUGGGUUCGGCAGCGAAACCCAGAGGCGCAGUGAAAGUGAAGGCCGCCUUCGGGCGGCCGAGGGAGGAUGGUGCCGGCCUCGUCCGGUGCCCGCACUCCCGGGGCGUCUCAUCCUCAUCGCGAGGAGAGACGCACCCAGAGCGUACACGUUGGAACCCGAAAGAUGGUGAACUAUGCCUGGCCAGGACGAAGUCAGGGGAAACCCUGAUGGAGGUCCGUAGCGAUUCUGACGUGCAAAUCGAUCGUCAGAGCUGGGUAUAGGGGCGAAAGACUAAUCGAACCAUCUAGUAGCUGGUUCCCUCCGAAGUUUCCCUCAGGAUAGCUGGCACUCGGAGGCAAGAGUCUCAUAUGGUAAAGCGAAUGAUUAGAGGCCUUGGGGCCGAAACGACCUCAACCUAUUCUCAAACUUUAAAUGGGUGAGAUCUCCGGCUUGCUCAACGUGAAGCCGGAGGCGGAUCAGAGUGCCAAGUGGGCCACUUUUGGUAAGCAGAACUGGCGCUGUGGGAUGAACCAAACGCAGAGUUAAGGCGCCCAAAUCGACGCUCAUGGGAAACCAUGAAAGGUGUUGGUUGCUUAAGACAGCAGGACGGUGGCCAUGGAAGUCGGAAUCCGCUAAGGAGUGUGUAACAACUCACCUGCCGAAGCAACUAGCCCUGAAAAUGGAUGGCGCUGAAGCGUCGUGCCUAUACUCUGCCGUCGGCGGCAGGAGGGCGCUCCCGCAAGGGGGCCCCGACAAGGCCCCGACGAGUAGGAGGGUCGCGGCGGUGAGCGCAGAAGGGUCUGGGCGCGAGCCUGCCUGGAGCCACCGCCGGUGCAGAUCUUGGUGGUAGUAGCAAAUACUCCAGCGAGGACCUGGAGGACUGACGUGGAGAAGGGUUUCGUGUGAACAGCCGUUGCACACGAGUCAGUCGAUCCUAAGCCCUAGGAGAAAUCCUAUGCAGAUGGUUCGGUGUUAUUUUCGAAAGCAUGACCGACCGUCGGGCGAAAGGGAAUCCGGUUCCUAUUCCGGAACCCGGCAGCGGAACCGUUCCAAUUCGGGCCCUCGCAAGAGGACUCGUCGGGGUAACCCAACAGGACCCGGAGACGCCGUCGGGAGAUCGGGGAAGAGUUUUCUUUUCUGCAUGAGCGUUCGAGUUCCCUGGAAUCCUCUAGCAGGGAGAUAGGGUUUGGAACGCGAAGAGCACCGCAGUUGCGGCGGUGUCCCGAUCUUCCCCUCGGACCUUGAAAAUCCGGGAGAGGGCCACGUGGAGCUUUCGCGCCGGCUCGUACCCAUAUCCGCAGCAGGUCUCCAAGGUUAAGAGCCUCUAGUCGAUAGACUA